rnacentral:rRNA from 1 species
ACGGCGGACGGGUGAGUAACGCGUGGGUAACCUACCCUGUACACACGGAUAACAUACCGAAAGGUAAUGCUAAUACGGGAUAAUAUAUUUGAGAGGCAUCUCUUGAAUAUCAAAGGUGAGCCAGUACAGGAUGGACCCGCGUCUGAUUAGCUAGUUGGUAAGGUAACGGCUUACCAAGGCGACGAUCAGUAGCCGACCUGGGAGGGUGAUCGGCCACAUUGGAACUGAGACACGGUCCAA